UAAGUAGGCGGUGGAAAAUGAACCAAAUGGGAUUCCUUAAGUAAUUGCGAAUGAACAAGGAACUGCUCAGCUUGAAAAUUGGGGCCUUCGGCCUUGAAUUGUAAUUUUGAAAUGUAUUGCCAAUGGAGGCGCAGGUGCAAGCCUAUUGAAAGAAAGCGUCAAUGAGGGUGAGAUUCCUUUUUGUCAUUUGCAGUCCUCCGUGCACGGUAUAUAUUUGACGAGUCACACUCCUCGGCAUUGGAAUGCAAAGUGGGUGGUAAAUUCCAUGUAAAGGAAAAUAUAUUAUUGAGACUGAUAGCAAACAAGUACCAUGAGGGAAAUAUGAAAAGGACUUUGAAAAAGAGAAUUAAAAGAGUCUGCAUUUGCUGAACAGAAAGCAAACAGAAUUGAUCUACUUGGUGAGAUUGUUGCGUCCACUUGUGGGCGCAAUGGUUCUUGCCUUGAAUGUCAGCGUCUAUUUCUGCAAAUCAUUACCCUUGCACAUGAAUGGUAAUUUGCCUGUGGGUAUUGGAAUGCAUGUGUUUGCAAUGAUUUGUGAUUUGAUACAUGUGUCUGGUGUCCUUGUGUGUGCCCUUUUUGCCAAAAGGGGAGGCUCUCCUCCCUGGGCACUGCAAGCCCUUGCACAUUGUUGCUGGCAAAAUGUUUCUGCUUGACCCG
rnacentral:rRNA from 1 species